AAUGGAUAGUAUUGGUGCGAGUGGAAGUAUUAUGGUUGAUAUUACGAUUAGGGUGGGUAAGAAGGUCAUUUUUUUUGUACAUUCAAAUCGUCAUUUUAUUUUUAUGUUAUUGUUUGAGGGGAAUAUGGUUAGUGCAGUAGUAUAUGUUAGUCGUAUGCCGUCUUCUGUUU